rnacentral:lncRNA from 1 species
UACAAACACGCACACAAGCGCACAUAGCUAUAUACCCAAAUAUCAAUCAAGUAAACGUCACAAUCCAUUAAGCUGGGCACUUGCCCCACGACACACAAUUUAUCAAUCCAUUGAUCAUGGCUCUCAAAAUCAGAAACCUUACCAACAAUAAAUCAAGAUUGUAUACACGAUCAUCUCACACGGUUCCUCAUAUCAACAUGACAUUUCCAAUAGUAGUAAAAGUUUGCGCUUUUAUGUUCAAAACAGAAAAGAUGUAAAAAGAAGCGGAGUGUUCAUCUAUUUUCGGGCAACGAACUGGGACUAGAAGCUCCUUUUUGACAAACUUUGAUCACAGGAGUUCCAAUUUAACCUUACUGGAAUUGAAAUAUGUUCAUUGGAAUCUGGUCUUUUCACUAUAUUCUUCGGAGAUUCUUGCUUACGUGGGAUUAGAGAAAUGCUCCUACCGAAUCCUCAAAUUUUUCUCCAAAAAUCCUCUUCCUAACUCUCACCGCUCACUGGAGGAUUAUUUUGGGGGAAAUCAGAGGGUUAAAAGGAAAAAACGAAUUGAAUUUUUUGAAUUUCAAAAAAUGGGAUCAGAUUCGUGUUUGGGCUGCUUGGAUUCAAUGAAUUUAAAUGUUUGGGGGAAAAUGAAUUCUUUCACCACCAAUAGAAAUUCAACGAGUAUGUACUCCAUCGGUACGAAUUUGCAAAUUUGCUGCCGAGUUUUCAGGGAUUUUGAAUGUUGGAUACCACCUGGGUGUUUUUAGGGAUUUCUAGAAACUGAACAACUCAACCCUUUGUACCAUAAACGAAAUUACUUACAAAGAUGGGGCCGUUGAUACUGAUUUAUAGUCAUUUUGAUAGUGGUUGAUGGAAGUUGGGUUCGUUUGGGGAGCUAUUGUUGCUGUUAACAUUGUCACUAUUACUGAUAUUAUUGACUUGUCCUUAUUGGGUUAAGGAGAAGGGAGAGAUAAGGGGUGUGGGCCGGAUCACACGAAUUAGGCCUAGUUCGGUGGAUAAAAAUUGAAAGAGAUGGGAU